rnacentral:lncRNA from 1 species
UUUUCAUCAACCAACCAACCAAAAUGCAAAGAAAAACGUGAGGAACAGCAGUAAAGGAGAGGAAAAACGAAAAUAUAAAGUCACUCAAACCCAACAAUCACCAUGGAAAUGCAAAGAAAAGCUUAAAAGCUCAAGCUUCAAACAUCAAAAACAAGCAAAUGGAAGAAGGAAUGAAUGGAUUUUCACCACCAAUGAGUUAAGACAACCAAGAGUAAGUCAAGGGAAGAAGAAAAUCU